rnacentral:misc_RNA from 1 species
AAGUCGUAACAAGGUUUCCGUAGGUGAACCUUCGGAAGGAUCAUUGUCCAAAACAUUAAAACAACCUGUGAACCUUCAGCGUGUUCUUGCAGGACAUCAAAACAGUAAUCCCGAGUAAAAUCAGCUAAAGAAUCACAGAUUUUGAUUUUGGGAAGUUCUGUGUGAACGUGGACGCUGCAAUUGAGCGCUAGAUAAAGCACCCUGGUACCCUAGAGCACUCCCCUGUCUGAAAGCGGCAGGGAUCAAUGUUCAGGUGUAGGUCCACACGACCGGCGACCGGGGUGGAGACGAAAGCCCCUAUGUACCCUCCGGGACUUGGCGAAAGCUGUCGUCAGGAUAUCUUGGUUCUC